ACGUCUAACAAUUACGAGAGGUCCCACGCUCCACACGGAGCGGUGCUGAUGGCGCGACGGCACUGCACCUGACAAAUUUAUGAGACUUCUUUUAUAUAAGCCCGAAUUGAGCAGGUUAUGGCUACCACUAUUUUCGGCUGCCACGGCAAGUGUUAUCACGAAAUGUGCAGAUAAGAGCCUUAUGGGUCAACAUGCUAAUCAGUCGGCGGGUGUCGGGCAGUGGGACGGCAAAUGGGUGGAAGUAUUUGAUGGAUUGGCCUGAUGGACAAGAAUCACAGGGCAUUAUAUAACACUUAAUCGUUAAAAUGUUUACGUUUCCCAUACACAAGCAGAUCUUUAAUUGCGAUUGCACAUGCAUCUUGAACUUUAUUGGGGGCUGUCAGACAGAAGCAGAGACAGAGCUCGGCGCUCCUAUGCCUCAAAAAAGAUAAGGUACUCGCAGAUACGGAUGUCGGAGAUAAAGACACUUUUCGGGAGGCUAGACAAAAGAGCUUAAGCUCGAUUAGAACCAGUUGAAUUAUAGCGGAUCAGCGGGCAUGACCCGUCCCACCAGGAGACCCAUCCAGGCCCACUUCCGCUGCACUUGCACUUCGAGUUUGAGCGUUUUUCGAGGCACACUCAAACACCUUACGAGCAUAUAUGCUGCUGCCAGACGACUGUGACUGGGAACGCGGACGCGCAUCGACUGUGACUGACACUGAGCUGAGAUGUUGAGAUCUUGAGAAAUGAGAACUGAGAACUGAGAAACUGUAGCAGCAAAUGAGAUAAAGUCUACUUAGCUGGAUCCCGCCCGUGCUGAUACUGGAAUCCGAGCCGCGAGACGCGACUACUUACUAGACGCUGUAAAACGUAAGCCCCCCAAGGCACUGAGCGACUGUCCCUCUAUGAAUAAACAUCAUCAUCCCCAAGCAGUAUAGAUCUGGGAUAAGAAGUAGAUCUCAGAUUUAAUCAGCGCAGAUUACGGAGGCGCUGUCGCUAAUCUAUUGACUGUCACCGUCACCGUCACCGACACCGUCACCGACACCGACCCCGUCGUGCCCAUCUGAGCGUGCCGAGUGUUCCUGGUCUAUACAUAUAUUCUUUGACAUUUGCAGCAAUCAUCGGCUCAGUCCAGUCGGAGGGUUAGGUGAAUCACAUGGGUUGCCGAGGCCGUGGCUGUUGCUCUGCCCUGCGCCCAAUUGCUCUCCUUGAGCGUCGUCGAAAUUGCUACCUCCGAAAGUCAUUUAGGCGGUCUCUUUUGUCCGAUCAAAUGGGGGACCAGAUGGAGGUUGGGCGCACGGCCAAGGGUGAGGGCAGGUCAAUGCCAAUGAAAGCCAAUAGAUGUUAAUGAUGGGCUUGAUCAUUGGAGACAAAGAUCUCCACACGUGGCUGGCCCAGCCGUAGAGCCCAAAAGUGUGCAUCACAAUUUUGAUUGAACCAAACCCCAGAUAAAAUCUUUUGUUGAUGUUUUACUUUUUAGAUAUGUUCACUUUUAUUUAAAGAAUUUUACUUUGAUUUAUGCGUAAACACGAAUCAUCGCUUGCCAUUUUCUUUGUAUCUUUUUUUGUUUUCGAUUUCGAAUUCGUUUUGGUUUUUAGUUUUGUUUGAAAAUUUCUUCUAAAAUUUACUCGUGACUCGUAAUUUUCGCUCACUUUUUACGGUGUACUAAUGGAAUUUUACUGGCUUUUUGUUUUGUGGCUGUCGGUGUGUAAUGGUGUGUGUGUGAGUGUGUGUGGACUGACUUAAAAAUCAAUUUUGUUGCUCUUUUUAAGGUUAAACUUUAAUAUUGCUUAUAUAUUCUUUCUUUAAAUUACAUCAUUUUACAGUGAUAAUUAGAAGAUGCUAGCACUUGCCGUGUGGUUGUUUCUUGGUUUCUUGGGUUCUCUCUAAUAUAUAAAUAAUCUGGUUUGUUUUAAUUUAACUUUGAUACAAUUUACAGUUGAAACACUUAAACGUUAUUUGGAUAGUUAAAUUUAAAAAUGCCUAUAAUCCAGUAUUCUUUACUCUCUCUAUUGCCUCGAACUUUCUAUCUUAAAUUUGUAGCUGUAUCUGUAUCUUUAUCUUUAUCUGGCUGUAACACGUGCGUUUUGUUUGUGGUUUAAAUUUGAUUUAAUUUAUUUGGAUAGAUUUAGAUUUAGUUUUAGAGUAGAUGAAUUAUCCAUACGAUUAUCGAUACUAUCUUAUGUUCAGGUUUAAUUAUGUUUCGAGUAAAAGUCAAAGCAUUCUCCCCGUCCGUCCUCCAUCCAUUUACAAUAAUUGCCAUAUAUUUUAUAUGCUCUAUGCUAGGCUAUGCUAUGCUAUGCUUCAAUAUGUAUUCGAAUCAGUUUAUUCAUGUUGUGGGUGUAAGUAUAUUUAAUGGGGUUUUACUCGUAGUUGUUGUGCCAUUCGUCGUCGUUCAUUUAUUUAACUAAUUCAUGGAAACUGAUUAAAAACAUUUGCGCUGCCUGACUAAUUUCAUUGUCUGCUUUUGAUUAUCGCUAAAUCGCUCUUAUUGGUUACAUUUUGAUAUUUUUUCCAUAAAUGGCAUAAACUGGAUCGUACCUCCCUUUCCCCGCCCCACGGGCCAUAUGUACACACGAUCCGCACACGAUUCGCUACGAUUUGAAAAUAUUGCUUAGCGUACAUUACAUUUCUCCUUUAAAUUUUGUUUUUUUUUUUUUUUUUUGGCAAUUUUUUAUGUUUUUACAAGUUUCUGACGGAUUCUCAUGGUCUUCCCAUAGCAUUUCCAUUUCCUUUACAUUAUUUGUUACUUAUACGAGUAUAAAACAAUUAAAAUUAGUAUCGAAUGGCAGUUUGGUGUGUGUUUGUGUCUAUAAAUAUUUCGUUUGUGGUUCGUCGUUGGUUUAUUAAAAUUGAAUUGGUCUAUUGAUUGCACUCCUUCAAGUGAGUGCUUUAAAA
rnacentral:sRNA from 1 species